ACUUCCUCCUGGACUCUUAUGAGGACUCAGCUCAUUUUCUGGUAUUAAUGUGCAUGUUGAAAACAAGCUGGGAGAAUCUGUAGCUUCAGGUUGCUGACUAUUUGAACAACCCAGGCAAGAGGUUCAGUCUUUGAAGUCAUUUUCCCUUUGGGAGCUUGACAGCCACCUGCCAGCCACAUUUGCGCCCUUCACCACAUUGUGAUCUCUGAAUGAACUCUUCCUACUGAUGCCUAGCAGCCUCUAUUCCAGAUCAAUUCUGUGGUAGGCAAAAUAGUGGCCUCUCGAAUAUCCACAUCCCCAGAACCUGCGAAAGACCUCCAGGAAAAGAAUGGAGCCCUGUCAUCACCUUGAUUUUUAGCUUAGUGAGACCCAAUGUUGGACUUCUGAAUUCCAGAAAGUUGCAAACUAUUUGUUGAAAAGACUUUGUUUUCCCCAUUAAACUGCACCAGCAUCAUUCAACCAUAGCACAGACUACCUCAUUCCUGACUUCCAUGCUGAAUUCCCUUCAGGGUGUGUCAAAACUGCACCCAUGGAGCAGUUCCAGGCAUGGAGAAGUUCCAGAACCAGGAAUCAAACCUGCACCGUAGCUGCAACUGAAGUCACAGCAGUGACAAAGCUGGAUCCUUAACCUGCUGCACCACCAGGGAACUCCAAUUUUUUCUAAUAUUUUAAUUCUAUCUUUUCUAAUUAGAAAAAAAUAGAUAUUACUAUUGCCAUUGUUGUUUACAUGUCACAUUGGUUUAGAAUUGCCCACAUAUUGUCUUUCUCUAACAAAAGAUCUGAUAAAUAAUCACAUCUACUUGUUCAGACUCUGAACUAAUUAAAAGAUAAGCAAGGAUUCAAACAUAUGGGGAAAAAAUGACAUAUUCAAGAAUGUGGCUUAAAUCUGCAGGCAAGAGAGUUUCAUGAUACUGAGCCACAGAAAGAAACUUUAUCCACACUCCAAUGAAAAUAGGGGUCCAUCUCAAUGUGAGAGUACUCCCCUAGAAAUAUGGAUCGAGGAUCAGCAUGGACCUUGUGCAUGCUAGCCAUAGGCAUCUGAUUACAAACAGUGUACAGCACCAGUUCUUUUGUUAUAUGUUAAGUACCAUAUAAUAGAAAGUUUUGUAAUCAAUGUAAAAUCCUCUGUUCUGCCCCUUUCUUAAGAAUUUGUAGCACUUAAAUGAAGAUGAAAGUUUAAAUCUGCUUUUCUUUUUAGGGCUGUACUAUGGCAUAUGGAAGUUUCUGGGCUAGGGGUUGAAUUGGAGCUGCAGGUGCCUGCCUACACCACAGCCACAGCAAAGCUGGAUCCAAGCCACAUUGCAACCUACACCACAGCUCAUGGCAAUGCCAGAUCUUUAGCCCAUUGAGUGUGGCCAGGGAUCAAACCCAAGUCUUCAUGGAUUACUAGUCACGUUCAUUACCACUGAGCCACAACAGGAACUCCUAAAAUGAUUUUCUUAAACUACAAUUCUCUGAUAAUAUUUUUAAAUUUUUUUUAUAAUUUCUAGGGAGAACAAGAUAUCAAAGGGUUGACACAGGAGCAUAUAACACUGUGGUAUUUAAAAUAUAUAGCAAAUAGCUAUAUAUAUAUAUAUAUAAAGAGAGAGAGAGCAUGAGACAGAGAGAGAGAAGUGUUUUCAACGAAUUCUAGGGGUCAAGAUCAGAGCUCUUUCCUUGAAGAACUGAGCUAGUAGGCAAAUCAUUUAAGUAAUGAUUGUGCAAAGGAUAUAUAAGAAUCAGUCAUUAAAGCUGAGGUAAAAUCAGGGAUAGCACAUUGAAAUUUUGGCAGAAAUGAUAUCAUUAAUAUACAGGCCAAAGUUUAAAAUUUAAUCAGAAAGCUAAAUAUUGCACUAGCUUCAGGAUGGGACUAGGCGUUCUCUUGUGGUAUAGCAGGUUAAGGACCCAGUGUCACCACUGCUAUAGCAUGGAUUUGACCCCUGGCUUGGGAACUUCCACAUGCCACAGGUGUGGUCAAAAUCUUAAAUAAAUCAAUAAAGGAUGGAUUAGUGUUCCAUGACUGUCCUAUAUGGAAAAUGAGAUGAUGACCAGCACCUAGAGACACAAGUGUGGCAGGAGUCAGAAUUAACUGGCCCACUCUACUUGUAGAAUAAAAUCUUUUUCUAAAACCCACAAACUAAUAGAUUAGGGUUUGGAGGGCAAGUCAGCAAGAGUAGCUCCUUAUCUACAUGGGUCAGGCCCAUUGAUUGUUUACAAGUGAAGAGAUGGAAUAUAAUACAUAUUAGUAGUGGACAUGACCCUUGGCCAAGAAUUCCAGAGUCUUCCUUGCACAUGCUAUUUACAUGAAGUACUGCAGUAGUCAGAGUAUACCACCUCCACGGAUGUCUCUAGUAGAUGAGAAUUUAAGACUGUACAGAGAGAGCAAAAUGAGCAUGGGAAGGAAAGUAUAGUUAGUUCACAGAACUUUCAGUGCUGUAGCUGCUAUUCAGUGUGAUGGGUGGAAAUAAACCACCCCAUGGGAGUGGAAUCUGUCCAGAGAAAGAGAGAAAUGGCUUAUGUGGGAAAAUGUUGGUUGGAGAAGCAUUUGACAGUUUUCAUCAGUUAUUAACACAAAGGUAAGAGAGAAUAAGUGUAGAGGGGGGAAAAGUGGGAAAAGUUUGGAAAAGUAAUAUCUAGAUUUUUAGAGGGAUUCUGAAGCCAUGAAUACCAAGGCUGGUCAGCAUGGUUUUUUUUGUUUGUUUGUUUUUGUUUUUUGUUUGUUUUUUGUUUUGUUUUGUUUUUUGCUGAGAAAAACAGCAAGAGAAAACCAGCAAGAGAAAACAGAAGGUCGAUGUACUGAUGGAGUGAAGAUGAAUUUUUUCAAUCAUCUGACAACAAAUAUAUGCUUCAUGUGUUG
rnacentral:lncRNA from 1 species